rnacentral:ribozyme from 14 species
ACAAUAAGAGAGAGAAAGAGAAAGACAGAGAGAGAAACGGGAUGAAUGGAUGGAGAAUUCAACUUUUGAUUGUACUUUUCGUAAUCGUCGUCUGACAGUUUCUCUCGCUUUCUCUCUCUCUCUUUCUUUCUC